rnacentral:ncRNA from 2 species
UGGCAGUGUCUUAGCUGGUU